AAAAAAAAAGAAGUAAGGGACAGAAGACAAGCAACUUGCCCUCUGAGGAGCUGGGUGGGGAAGGUGUUGAUGGAGCAUCCUCAGUGUCUUGUAUAAAGAGAGAGCCACUGCUGGACAACUUGUUCUAGAGACAGGAAGCUGCAUCUGAAUGUGAUGGAAGAUGUUCACGGCUGUCUUGGCAAAGGGAUGUCAGGCUUCAUACAGCUGUUUCCUCAACUGACUCAGGAAGAAAGAUUCUCACUCCUUAUAGACUUUUACUUCUUGGUGCUUGUAGUUGCAAUUCCAAGCCGUUGAAGACUUUUGCCACAGGCUCUCUGGAAGAGCUGCUGUUAAAACCUCUGCAUGUUGGCAGGUAGAUCACAGGGUUAUCUCAGUGGCCUGCAGUAAUGCUCCUGGGGACAGACACCAUCCCUUGCCUCCAGUGCUGGAUGUUGUUCCAUUCAUCCAGUGGUGUCUCCCUUACCCUGUUUUCAAGAGGGAGCCAAAAUAUGGCAUUAAUGAGGAUAUAUUAGUAUGACAACUACAGAGACCCAAAUGAGAAUAAACUGUCCAGAAUCUUGCACCAGAAAUGGAGACAAAGGGUAGCUGAAAUUCUGGAAGUUGCCCACUUUGCCUUAGAGAUCGUUGCCAGCAGCCUACAUCUGUACAACAUAUGAGCAAGUGAGAAAGUAUCUUUGAGAAGGGUGUAAUGUUGGUCCUGUGUCAAUAAUGGAUCUAGUCCAAGGUACUGAAGCAUCUGCUCUAUAUUUCAGUAUUUCAUUUCCUACUCUUGUAAGGAUAUUCAAGUAAGUGAGCAUCUACACCUAAAAGACUGCAUUUGAAAGAGUAGCUAAAAUGUGGUCACCACCAGCCAAAAUACUCGCUAUGCUAGACUGUAGUUUGGACUCUCCUUCAGGUAACGUGUCAGUCUCAGAAUCAAAUGAUCACCACAUGUAGGUCUAUAAAGCUCCUAAAUCAGCUGUGUAGAGAGGCACUCUGCAAUGGCUAUUGCUGGAUGGUUAAGUUCCAGUGCAGGUGAAUUAAAUUAUUAUUGGUUCCAA